GCAAGGAUAGCCAUAAGGUUGGAUGAGGUGAGCACAGAGACCAUCUGCCGGAGAAUUGGGAAGGCGAAUAUAUGAAACUCUGGCGGAUUCUCCGGCUGAACUGAGGAGUAAUACACUGAGCAACAAAACCGUCACCAGACGCUCCAUUUUCAGGCCACUGGAGUGCGGAAAACACAGCGGAACGACGGACCAACGGGCUGGGACCUCCCGGGAGAGGAGAGUGUGGAGUCUCACAAUGCUCCAGAAGAAAGAUGCGUUCGCAGGAAACCGAACGAGACAGUCAAGGACCUGAGAAGCUCCGCCCCUGUGUCGGUCAAGGACCUGCAUUUCUAAAAAAAUUCAACCCUUUCUGAAAAAUUUCUUGUUUGGGUCUCCUCGAAUCCUCCGUUCCCUUUACUGUACAGUAUACAGUAAGAAUAGACAUAGAAUCGCAUCUAAGUAUCUAACGUGAAAAAAAAAAAAAAAAACUUCUAAUACAAGAGUAAUAGCUAGUUUGGGAGGAUGGAAAUGAAAAGAAAAGAAGAGAAAUGAUAAGUUAGAAAAGAAAAGAAAGGAUCAAAGUUUCUAUCUAAAUUGUUUGGAAGUUUUAAAAAAGAAAAGAAAGUGAGUAGUUUUCUUUUGUUUGGGAGUUGAAUGUAAAAGAAAAGAAAAGAUACUUAAACAAAUUAUUUUACAAAUAUGCCCUUUCUAUAAACAAAUGUGAGAAGGAUUCAUCGGGUAUUAAAAUGUUUUGUAUCAGGAUUUUAAGGAUAAUUUGGUCAUAUUGAAAAAUUUACUUAAACUUCUGUCCGUUCCUUCCCUUUCCGCCCAACAUUGGGCGGAAAGUUUUCCAAAAGAUGAAGUGGAGUGGAAUCUUUCCUAUUCCUUUCUUUUCCUUCUCAUUUUAACUCCCAAACAAUGAAAAAACUUUUUUAUCCCUUCAAAACCUUUCUUUUCUUUUCAUUUCCAUCCUCCCAAACUAGCUAUAAGGGUAGAUAUAUAAUAGAAUCUAACGUGUUAAAAAAAAAAAAAGAAGAAAGAUAGAGUAUAAAGAGAGAGAUUCUCUUCUGUCCACUUGGUACCGACACAAACGCUCUCUUACAGCGCGUCCGGUAUACCUUUCUUUGCUCAAGAGCCAAGCAUAACGUCAGUUGAUGAAGCGGAUCUAGGAGUGGGCUAUAAAAGCUCACCUAUUUGGGCUAUAACAGUACAACAAUCAUGGGCUUGUCACUGGUCGAUAUUUAAAAAUCAGGCUAGUCCGCUGAGCUAAUUGUUUAAGAACUUUUAACAUUUCCGAUACUAAACUUUCGUAUUGUGGGCUCCAACAGAGAACGGGCUUGUCGUUGCAAGUGCCGUGGAAUCCAUUGCACUAAUUAGAGUGAAUAGGUAUCCCAAAUUCCGCUCAACCGGUCAAGAGUGACUUGCACGGUAAUCAUGAGAUUUUCGAUCUGUUUGGAGUUGCGACAGCUUAUUUAAAAAUACUACUCCUGUAAAGUUUUGAAUAAAAAUAUUUAUUAACUGCUAAGUGCUUUUAAAUUUAUUAUUUGGAGAGACACAGUUUAAUCAGUACUUAUUGUAUUAAAUAAUGUGUAAUUUAAAUUUUAAAAAAAAUAUCUAUCUCUUUAUUUGGUAUAACAUAUAAUUAAAUUUGAUGUUUUAUUUUUUAAAUCAUAAAAACUACUCUAAAAGCACUAAAUUUGAGCUUUUGUUAAAGUGCUUUUAACACCAAAAAUUCUACUCCUAAUUUUAUGGGAUGAUAUUCACCAAACAUUUUAAAAGUACUUUUUAACACAUAAAAGUGCUUUUUUCUUAUCAAAAGCACCGGAACCCAAACGGGGCCUUAGUAACUACCAAAUUUUCUGAAUGACUUCAAGAACCUAAUCAUGUCAUCAUACAAGUCUUCCUUUGAUCUUACACUCAGGAGGAAGUCUAUGUGACCGUAUUCCUCAAGAAAAAGCACCUCUGGCUGUCUUUUUAGUUCCUUCAGCGUGCGCUGCACAUCAGUAACGUCAGCUAAUGAAUCGUUACCCCCAUAAGCCAUCCACAAUGGUAAAGAAUUCGGAAUGCUGCUAACAUCAAAUGCUGGAGGCCAAAACCGUCCAUAGCGUAUCAGGUUCUUAAAGAUUCCAUAAUCAUACUUUCUGAAAGUACCUUCACGGAUCACUGGAAAAAAAACACAAUUCAAUGGGUAGGAACUAGGAGAGUAAGAGCGAAUGUAUGAGAAAAAAUGAGGAAAAAAGCUACACAGACUUAGCCUGAUAUAGCAAGUUUGAAUAACUUCAGCAAACCAAAAGGCCAAAGACAAUGAUAUCCUGCUAGUGCAUACUUUGAAAAAGAUGAUUCAGAUUCUUUGAGGAUGUAGGUUGUGGUUCAUAUUCGAGAUAGAAAUUGAUCCGGGAGUUGUUGAAGCAACAGUUCUUUCCUGAAAGGUUAAUCCACCAUUUAAUAAGAUACAGAUGGCAAUAUAAUAGUUUAACCAUUCUAAACACUCGAAUAAUUACUUCCCAACUUGCUCUACAGUGCUAGAUUGCUAGCAGAAAAGCAAAGCAGAAAAGUUUGUCAUGAAAGGAAUUUUUUUUUUAAAGGCCAAAUAACAGAACAUGAAUAAGGACCUGUAACCGGAGUAAGCAACUCAUUGCAAUUCACAUAUUCACUGCAUAAUAUGUCCAUCAUAUGGGUGCUGCAGUCACUGAAUAGAUAACAGAACAGAAAGGAUUAUAUAAACCGAAGAUAUGUGGAAACCUGACCGAAAGAAAGAGCCAAAAUUAAUAAGACCUUUUGAAAUUAAGUUCAUGAAUGCCCAUCACACAUAACACCUGCUUAGAGAAAAAUGACAACUUAAGCACACUGACAAAUAAGCCCUGAUGGGAAUGCUCAAAAAGAAACCACACAAACCUCAUCAAUAUGCAUUUUCACUAAUCUUAGGACAAAAGACGAACUUAUAUGAUCCAAAUAUGAGAUAGGAGAAAGAAGCGCAGCAGCUUCAACCAUUGAUACUAUAUGUGGUUGAGUAAAAGCAGCCAGAGACAUUAUUGUUCCCUGCAAAAUAAAGCAAAGGACAUCGAAUAUCAGAAAAACAAAAACCAACAACCAAAUGAAGAUAUAACAUAUAGUUCUCAAGAGAUUCAAGACCUGUGAAUGACCAACAAUAAAUAUUUUUGAGUUGGUGAUGUUAUAAAUAUAACGAGCCAUUCCUUCCAGAUCAUACAGAGCCAAUUCCUGCCAACUCCAAUCCCAAAAAUCCUAAAAACCAAGAGAAGAAACCAUUAAAGCAAGAGGGUUCAUAAAGCACAUCUAGUUUAUGCAAAAAGAAUAUUUUUGCUGCAUCCCAAAUCAGGACAAGACCAUGCAGAAGUAACUUGUGAAAUAAAUUCUACACAUAGAGGGGGGAUGGUGGUCCACCACUCCUGCUCUUCCGAGCAUUAACCAUUUGAUGGCUACGACUUCAAAGCAAUUCAUAUUUAUACCUUGCUUUUACCUGAGUAAUCAAAUCAUGACAAGUCAAUAUAUGAAUGUAAUUUGAAAACCUGUACUACAUUACAAUUUCCAACAGUUACAGAACUUAAAGAUUAUAACCAGAUGUCAAAGACAAGCUAUAAAUACCUUGUCUUUUUCUGUCAGAUGGACAUGUCGACGACUCCAAUGUGUCCCACGCACAUUUCCAGCCCAAACAUCAAAGCCAUGAUCAGCCAGGAUAAACCCCAAUGAUUGAUUUGGAGAGUUCAAGAACCAGGCAUCACCUGCCUGUUAUAUUUUUCAGUUGCUCAAUUGUUAAUAUACGAGACUGCUACCCAAUCCUUUCUUUAUAUUACAUUCACAAAAUGGAAGGGGGGGAGGCGGGGAGGACAAUUACAAUUUCUGUGAGUCUAGAUAAGGCUAAUCAUGCUUGUUAAAGAUCUUUGUAAUAAUAAAGUAGCAUUUCCUAUAGAUGCGAAAGCCAUUUUAGCUUAUAAUUUUAACCAAAACCAAGAUGCACGGACGAAAUAAUUUACAGCUUACACACUGAACUUUGACAUAGUAUUACUCUUACAGCUUGAAUAUGCACACAUUUAUGGAGGCACCAAAGCACUAAGAAUGCUCAAUUCCGAUAAGCAACAAAUCUAACUAAAGAAGAUAGUGAACUGAAAAAUAAACUUUUGUACCAUAAAACAGUUUUGGCUGCACAAAGUAGCAACCGUAAUGAUGAUUGGUAAAUAUCUUCCAUAGAAUUGGAAUUUGAAAGAACGAAUAGAGCUAAAUUCAAAUGUGGCCUCUCCACUAUGAUUUUUUUUUUUUUUCUAAAAAAAAUAAAAUAAAAUAGAAAUCAUGUAAACAAAUUAUUUUAGGAGAGAUUACCAUCAUUAGCCCGUGAAGGAGAAGAACUGGAGGACCGUAUUGCCCUCUGAGAUAUCUGGAGUUAGAUGCCACCCGCUGAAGUCCAAGCAAGUAACCAUCAUUUGUUUGUGCCUGGAUCAACAAUUCCACAUUCUUAAACUAAAUCACCUGCACGCUAUAUUUCAGAAAAAUCGUCUACAGCUUAGUCACGCCUUCAAUACGUAGGUAGACAAAAAAGUAAGAUCAAUGAUUAAUGAAAUUUAUUCAUGUGUACCACUGUACACAAAUACUAUAUUCAACAAAGAACGAUACGUAGAUAGAGAUAGAGAUUCUACGGUGUGCUCGGAGCAAGGAUAGCCAUAAGGUUGGAUGAGGUGAGCACAGAGACCAUCUGCCGGAGAAUUGGGAAGGCGAAUAUAUGAAACUCUGGCGGAUUCUCCGGCUGAACUGAGGAGUAAUACACUGAGCAACAAAACCGUCACCAGACGCUCCAUUUUCAGGCCACUGGAGUGCGGAAAACACAGCGGAACGACGGACCAACGGGCUGGGACCUCCCGGGAGAGGAGAGUGUGGAGUCUCACAAUGCUCCAGAAGAAAGAUGCGUUCGCAGGAAACCGAAC
rnacentral:lncRNA from 1 species